AGCAGCCGCGGUAAUUCCAGCUCCAAUAGCGUAUAUUAAAGUUGUUGCAGUUAAAAAGCUCGUAGUUGAAUUUCGGGGUUAGUAGGUUGGUCAUGCCUCUGGUAUGUACUGGUCUCACUGAUUCCUCCUUCCUGAUGAGCCGUAAUGCCAUUAAUUUGGUGUUGCGGGGAAUUUGGACUGUUACUUUGAAAAAAUUAGAGUGUUUAAAGCAAGCUAACGCUUGAAUACAUUAGCAUGGAAUAAUAAAAUAGGACGUUCGAUCCUAUUUUGUUGGUUUCUAGGAUUGACGUAAUGAUUAAUAGGGAUAGUUGGGGGCAUUAGUAUUCAAUUGUCAGAGGUGAAAUUCUUGGAUUUAUUGAAGACUAACUACUGCGAAAGCAUUUGCCAAGGAUGUUUUCAUUAAUCAAGAACGAAAGUUAGGGGAUCGAAGACGAUCAGAUACCGUCGUAGUCUUAACCAUAAACUAUGCCGACUAGGGAUCGGAUGAUGUUAAUUUUUUAAUGACUCAUUCGGCGCCUUA
rnacentral:rRNA from 1 species